GUUUCAAUUAUGAUUAAUUAUCGUAGUAGAGCUGGAAGCAUUAAUGUACAAGCAAAAUACCCAGAUACUAAUAAAGAACUUUCAAUUAUUAGAGAACCUCAUACUUGCCCCACAUAGACAAAAUCACUUUUUGUUCCAACUCCAUAUCAAUAAGCAAUCUGAUGACAAAAUUACACCUUAUAAUAAACCGCCUAAUAAUUCAUGAGAAGUACAGAAUUGCAAACCUCUAUAUAAGAAUCUCGUCCGAUCCAAGCCAUAAAGAACAUAUAUUAUAACAUUAUAAAAAUUGGUUCUAAAAGACUAGACUUUUAUAGUGAAUGAUUGUUAUAUAGCGAUAAUAUUAUAGAGAGGUCUGACUAUAUUUUCAGCAUAGUUAGUGAAACAAAUAUAUCUCAAUCGAAUAACACAGAAAUCAAAAUCAGAAUAUAUACAAGGCUGAUAUACUGCUCUUUCUUUUGACAAACUAAAGACAGGUUAUCCUGUCAGUGACUACUCAGUGUCCAUCAGGUGAACAAUCUAUUUAGGCCAAAUGAUAUUAAACAAAUCUCCAAAAGGUAAUUCAAACCGAUAGAUCGUUCAAAAAAAAAAAAAAACAAAGACAGCACACUAACAGCAAUAGCAAGAACAAAUCCAUAAUUAUCGCGAUCAUUUCUAAGGCUCACUUCUAAAUCAAUAACUCAAGUAGAAGAUACAUCUUCUGAAUCCUAGGAAAACAGGGGGUAUACAUUCUAUGUUGACUACAAGCGAUAGUUGAGUAUGUCAUUGAGGUCCAGCACCUGAAACGAGGACACUGAGGAAGGAUUGCUGUUGUUUUACUCCCUAGCAGAACCAACUGUUGAACUUCAUCAUUGGUUCAAUUGGCAGAUAAUUGGGGUUGCCUAGCUCAAAACUCAAACACAUAACUAAUAUGUGCACUCAUGGAACAUUCAUAACUUGAAUGGACUGCAGCAUGUCGGAAACAGCAAUGAUGAGGUCACCUGACUUGAUCAUGCCCCGAGCUUUUAGCAAGGAAAAUGUCUUGUUGAGGUUGCUUUCCAUAUCAUCAGAGAAACUCAAGCGGAAAGGCAUUAGACCCCAUUGCAGGUUCAGGCGUCUGCGUACAGACGUUGUCGUUGUAAAUGCAAAUAUUGGGCAGUCAGGACGGCAGCGUGACAAGAGAGAUGCCAUGUGCCCAUUCUUGGUGUAAACAAAAAGUGCAUCAACUUCCAAAUUGUUAGCUGCAAAUCACAACAGAAAUAAGCAUUGGAUCAAACUAAGGAGAAUGUCUUGUUGAGGUUGCUUUCCAUAUCAUCGGAGAAACUCAAGCGGAAAGGCAUUAGACCCCAUUGCAGGUUCAGGCGUCUGCGUACAGAUGUUGUCGUUGUAAAUGCAAAUAUUGGGCAGUCAGGACGGCAGCGUGACAAGAGAGAUGCCAUGUGCCCAUUCUUGGUGUAAACAAAAAGAGCAUCAACUUCCAAAUUGUUAGCUGCAAAUCACAACAGAAAUAAGCAUUGGAUCAAACAGUAAGACUAGAAUAUAAAAGACCAUGAUUCGAAAUCAGGAUAUGUUUUCUUCUCCUGAGUUCAAACUUCCAUCAAUAUGCUCAGAACAAAGUAACUUGCUAUCGUCCCACAAAACUGUAAUGUAAUACUUCUGGAAGAUAUUAAACUUGCUCCCACUCACAUAAAGAAAUAAAAUUCUUACGAGAAUCACUUUCACAUUCAAAUAACAUUUGCCUCUUCCAGCUUGGAAAGAGCGGCUUGGCUUAAUUAAUCUUUCACUUUCUUCUUCUAUUUCUAGAAUGUACUUUCAUGAAGAUGAACAUUGAAAAGCUAAUCCCAUUCAGUAACCUUAAUGACAGUGGUGUCCAAGCUAGCUGGCCCGCACCUCGACUAAUUCCACCGGAUACCUGCUACAUCCCACCAGCACAGGUACCAAGUAACUUUGACCACCAAGGCUUGGGCAGAGUUACCUCUUUCAUUAUUUAAGAUAGGAAAAGAUAGAAUGACCAAAGGAGUACCUGAGUGAUCAGCCCAAAUUCUGUAUUUUCUCAACCAAAAAAAACUACAGCAGGACAAGGCAGUUCGUAUGGAUUGUCCAGAAGGCAGCUUCAUGGAAGGCAAUUAUAUAGA
rnacentral:lncRNA from 1 species